ACAUCAAUUAAUUCGAGUCUCAUUAAUCAGGUGCAUGUUAACUUACGAAUUUCAUAUGUGAGCGAAUCAGCUGAGACGUUUCUUUUCCAGAAUUAGUAUUCUGUAUUAAUACCAAAGUAUCCUUCCCACAGCACCGGCAGUUUCGGUUCUAUUCAUUGGUGGCCAAAGACCAGCGGCGGGUUUCUCGAGAUGCUCCGUUGCGUCCACGAGAUGGCGCUACCAUCUCGGCGUGGCGGACGGCUCCCCGUGAUUAGUAAGGUGACGGCUCUUGCUCCCUUGGAGGUCAUCCCCUGGGUGUGUAAACAAGAGAUGCCCUGCCCACGCCAGGCCUGCCUGUGGUGACUCCACCUUUUUGUGGUAACCGUUCUUUCUGUGAAUACUGUUCCUGAAGGAAGAACCACGAUUUGCAGCUGAACACAAACAAGUACAUUGUUCCUACUCUCCAUGGAGGGAGGAUAAUUAGGAGAUUGGGGGUGAAAUGGAAGAGGCAGAGGUACAGAUGUUUGCUGGGUUUUCUGGGUCGGGGGUUUUUCCAGUGAGGGCUUCAUCUCCCUCAAUUAUCUGCUCAGGAUUCCGCUUUCUCUUGCAUUCCUGUGAACCAGGGCAGUCAUAUUCAGGGCGCGGAGAGAGAAGGUGCCACAUUGCCUAAGGCAUGGCGAGUCACUGUCUGAUCACGGAGUCCUCGUACAUGGGACUGGCUUGGAAGGAAAGAUCCUCAAGAACUGCUGGGCUGGGGUCUCCUGCUGUUCUCUGUUUCCAUCUUGGAGCUGACACCUGCCUCUGAACAGCUAUGACCUUCCCCAAGACAACCUGCUGUGAGUCACAGCACGAUCGGUCUGGGGGGUGUGGCCCAGUAAUGCCUGAGAGAUGGCAGUUUUUUUUAGAAGAAUAUUGGCUUACAGAAGACAGGUCCUGCUGGGAAGUCAAAGGGCUGAAGCAGGAGGUGGACAGUUGGUUUGUUUAUAGUUUGUGGCUAUCAUGACUAAAGCUGCUGUGAGCAUUGCCAUACAAGUGUUUCUGUGGACACACAUUUUCAUUCCUUUUGGAUGAAUGUAGGAGUGAGAUGGCUGGAUCAUAUGGUAAAUAUAUGUUUGACCUUAUAAGGAAAGCACUUCCAGUUUCCCACAGUGGCUGUACCACUUGGCAGCGAUGGACCCACGUGCUUCCUACUGCUUGAUGUUGUCAAGUCUUUUGAAGUUUAGCUAUUCUGGUGGAUGAAUAGUGGUAAUCUUACUUACUAAUCUUGGUAUAAAUUUGCAUUUCCUUGAUACUUAAUGUUAUAGAGCAUCUUU